UUUUUUUUUGUUUGUUUUUUGUGUGUAUUUUGGUUUCUUGGUUUUUGUUUGUUUUGUGGGGUCUCGUUGUCAUAGUUGAUGUUGUCAUGUCAUUUUGUUGUUAUUUUUUUCCUCAGAACUGAAGCUCGCUGGGGUUCUGCACAGCCUGUGGGAAGGUCUUUCAGCUUGACAAAUGUAUGGAAUAUCACGUAAGAAGCACAUGGCCUUACAGAAACCUGCCUUUAUUCUGCAUAAAUUAAUGUUCUGUGCUAUACCAAAAUAUUUAUGGAUUUUGAAAAGUAAAGAGAUAUAAGUAGCAAUGAUAUUCUUGAAAACAAGCCAGUCAUAUUUUCUGUCAGAGGGAAUGCAGUACAUUAUCCAACUUGCAAGUCUGAGACCUUUUGAAGGGAUGUAUAUUGCCAGAACAAAGUGCCUUUGAGUCAUUAAAAAGUACAUAUGUGAAAUUUUCCAACAGUUGUAAUUUUAAAUAAGAGAUUUGUUGACAAGCUGAAGUGAAUGCUGGAGCUGUCUCUGAGGCACGUGCAGGCAGUUGGCAUAGCUGUCAGAGCUAAUAAAAAAGGAAAUAACCAGUCAGGGAGGUGCAGAAGAAGUAAGAACGAUUUUGCUGAGAAAAACCACACAAUUAAAAUCAAAUGCAAGGUGCUUCCAGAGAACACUGGUUAUCUGAGCAGGCAUGAGAAAGAGAAGGGAGAAAGUUAUUUCUGGGACAGAGCCAGCAGGAAUUGUUUUAAAGAUCUGAAAGAGAGAAAACCUGUUUCUUUGCUGAAGUGGUUCAGGGUAAUGUUCAAUAAUGGGGUGGUCAGAUUUUUGGGGUACGUCAAAGCUCUAUUCCGGUUAUAAUCACUCACGUGUGCCUGACAUCUUUACCUCUUUGGAGUUAUCAUCAGGAAUCCUCCUAUACCAAACCAAAUCUUUGAGAAGAGCUUCAGACCCACUAGAAAGCUGACCCUUCGCGUGUCUGAAUAGAAGUUGUUUUAGAGGACAGCCAGUAACAUAUUUUUGAACAAUUCAAGUAAUACCUUUUGGUGUUGGUCAGACUGGAUGACAUAGAUGUACAGCAGAAUGAUCGGAGCGGUAUGCAGUUGUCUGUAUCCGCAUACAGCCAGUGAGGUUUAAAGAAAUAUGGAGGAAGAAAGGUGUAAUUUCUGUCUGUUAUCUACCAUAUUACUGCGCAACCUCAGCUGUAGAUGAAGAAAGUAUUGGUAAAUCUAAAGUAAGAAGAAAUUAAAAGAUACCUGUCUUGGAAAAAGGACAUCAUAUUACAAAGGUCCUUUCUUGCUCAAUUCAAACUAACUGAAGAAAAUUUUGAAGGACUUGAGGAUCUUGAAGUAAAAGAGAGAGACAAAACUGUACGGUUCAACAAAAUUAAUUGCAGCAAAUAAUCAAAUUCAGUACUGAAGGUAUCUGACCAAGACAUAUGUUUGAAUUCAGAAAACAGAACCAAGAGGCAACUAACUACAUGUGGAUUGGACUUGCUAGUUUCUCUUGAUAAUGCAUUUUUGGAGCUAGCUUAUACCUAACUUUGGAGGAUUAAGGUGUUAAAAACUUGCUUAAAAUCAAUUCUGAGUGGAUAAAUAAUAAAGUAAAGGAGCAUACUUAUGAGGACUUAAAAUAUUUAUUGACCUUAUACCCAGUACUGGCAUUUAAUGAUAUUUCCAAGUCUUCUGCUAUUUCAGAAGGUACUAGCUGUGUUUAGUGAUAUAAUAUUAUAGUCAUGAAGAGAAGAUUGGAGACUCAUAUUGUUUUCGGUGGCUUUUGGGCUCCAAAAGUAGUUUUGUCCGAAGAAAGCAAACAUGAUCAGAAAAUGUGUAAACAUAUCCGAGGAUCAGAAGAUAUUUGUGGAUUCUUGGUAAAUUCAAAAUCUCAGCUGACAACAAACCAUUUCAAGCCUAACACAAGUUUUUCCUUAGACAUAACUGCUUCCUUGUAUUUACUGUAGCAUUGAAUACUUAAUAUGAAAAGUGUUCAAGAGAAUUUAAUAGUAAUAAGUAACAUCAUGCUGAAGAGUCCUAUUUGAUUGCCAAGAUUAAAAUUUUGGGAUGAUUCAGAGAUUAAUGUAGAUGUCAUUUUUUUGGCUUGGUAACUUCAUUGCAGGGAAUUGCUUAAAGCGCUAAGAAAACCAGACCUGUUUAAUAGUUCAAAGCUUAAAUAUAGAUGAUAUCUACAUAUAUGAAAUGUGUGAGGCAUUGAAUUGAAAGUUUUAUUACUUAGGAGGAGUUGCAUAUCAAAUCUUUUUUUUUUUUUUUUAAUUAAAUGAGAGGAGCACUUGAUGAGUGUGAAGAUAAUCAUAUUCCCACAACAAAAUCAUCAUAGAGGAAAAUGUAGUGUGAAGAAUACAGGAGAUACCAAGACCUCAAAAAUCCUUAAAAUGCAUUUAAAAAUACAUCAUUAGUGACAAAAACUGAUAGUUCUAUGGUUCUAAGUCUCAGACAUGAAGAUACAGUACACUUUCAUUCAUACCAGUUACAACUCCUGUUGCGCCCAAGGCUUGAAUGAUGGGCACAGCAGUAUGCAUCACCAGGAGAAAUCUACAAUGAAGGACCUCAUAUUAGCUCUUCUCAUCUGUACAGAAACUCAUUUAUCAGCUAGUCCUGUUGAUGAAUCUUCAAUGGGUUUCAGAAAGGAUUAUGAUAUGACACAAGUAGCAAUGAUUUUCUCACCGAAGCUCCAUGAAGAAAGUCAGUGUGGUGCAAAAUGUCCUUCUCAGUAUAUAUGUAUGGAUUUGACAAUCUGUAUCAGUCAGCUGAGCAAAUCAUGGUAAAACAGAUAACUGUUAAAUCAACCGGCUUCCAGAGUACAUUUGGUUUGGUAUUAACUCUAUUAAUAAGAAGGUUGUUGUAGAAUUUUCUUUAGAGAAGAAUUUGGUAGGACUGAUAUGAACAUCAAUACUGUGGGAUUUUUUAAAUUGUAAGAGUAACUUUCAUAUUAUUAAUCUUUGUAAUUUCAAAAGAAGUUCCUAUGUUCAUAUCUCAAAAAAAAAGUGAUUAUUUUCUGUAAAUCUUCAUGUAGUAACAUGGCAUAACAUAUUAAGUAUGCAUACAGCAGAUACAUCUCAAGGCCAUCCUUGCAGAUUUGAGUUUAAGAAUAAUACAUGUAAAUACUGUGCAACUAAAUGCCUUUGAUGGCAGAAGAAUAAGGAACUAAAUCAAUUUAAAAUAGCUAAGUCUUCUUUAGUUCAAAUAUUUGCUUUUUAAUGUCUUAAAACAGUUUUUAAACAGCAAAGUAGAGGCAAUCCAUUAGAUAAGGAGAAUUGAAGAGAACAACAAACUGUUGUAUGUUGUCACUGAGUGGACAACAGCCACCGAAAGGACUUGGAAUCUCAUGUCAUCCCAUAACUGUCUGUGGAAUCAUUUGCUUGAAAGAAAUGUGUAAGAAAUACCAUUGUAAACAGAUGUGGGAUUAAUAUUUUGUUGCAAGCCCCGAGAGAGUUUAUUUUAAGCACUGAAGUAUUUUGCUUAACAUGUCUUUCAAUACUUUGAGCAGUCUUUUAUAAAUGUUGCUUAUAUAAUUUCCCAUAAUUCCUUUUAAAAUCUCACUGAAUUCCUACUUAUAUGUAAUUGAUGUAAUUCUAUAGAAUUUAUAGGAAUGCCAUUUGUGUGUCAUUUAUAUAAAUUUCUAUUAAAUCUAUUCAACAUCA